AUCAGUGGCGAACGGGUGAGUAACACGUGAGCAACCUGCCCCUGACUCUGGGAUAAGCGCUGGAAACGGCGUCUAAUACUGGAUACGAGUAGCGACCGCAUGGUCAGUUACUGGAAAGAAUUUUGGUUGGGGAUGGGCUCGCGGCCUAUCAGCUUGUUGGUGAGGUAAUGGCUCACCAAGGCGUCGACGGGUAGCCGGCCUGAGAGGGUGACCGGCCACACUGGGACUGAGACACGGCCCAGACUCCUACGGGAGGCAGCAGUGGGGAAUAUUGCACAAUGGGCGCAAGCCUGAUGCAGCAACGCCGCGUGAGGGAUGACGGCCUUCGGGUUGUAAACCUCUUUUAGCAGGGAAGAAGCGAAAGUGACGGUACCUGCAGAAAAAGCACCGGCUAACUACGUGCCAGCAGCCGCGGUAAUACGUAGGGUGCAAGCGUUAUCCGGAAUUAUUGGGCGUAAAGAGCUCGUAGGCGGUUUGUCGCGUCUGCUGUGAAAUCCGGAGGCUCAACCUCCGGCCUGCAGUGGGUACGGGCAGACUAGAGUGCGGUAGGGGAGAUUGGAAUUCCUGGUGUAGCGGUGGAAUGCGCAGAUAUCAGGAGGAACACCGAUGGCGAAGGCAGAUCUCUGGGCCGUAACUGACGCUGAGGAGCGAAAGGGUGGGGAGCAAACAGGCUUAGAUACCCUGGUAGUCCACCCCGUAAACGUUGGGAACUAGUUGUGGGGUCCAUUCCACGGAUUCCGUGACGCAGCUAACGCAUUAAGUUCCCCGCCUGGGGAGUACGGCCGCAAGGCUAAAACUCAAAGGAAUUGACGGGGACCCGCACAAGCGGCGGAGCAUGCGGAUUAAUUCGAUGCAACGCGAAGAACCUUACCAAGGCUUGACAUAUACGAGAACGGGCCAGAAAUGGUCAACUCUUUGGACACUCGUAAACAGGUGGUGCAUGGUUGUCGUCAGCUCGUGUCGUGAGAUGUUGGGUUAAGUCCCGCAACGAGCGCAACCCUCGUUCUAUGUUGCCAGCACGUAAUGGUGGGAACUCAUGGGAUACUGCCGGGGUCAACUCGGAGGAAGGUGGGGAUGACGUCAAAUCAUCAUGCCCCUUAUGUCUUGGGCUUCACGCAUGCUACAAUGGCCGGUACAAAGGGCUGCAAUACCGCGAGGUGGAGCGAAUCCCAAAAAGCCGGUCCCAGUUCGGAUUGAGGUCUGCAACUCGACCUCAUGAAGUCGGAGUCGCUAGUAAUCGCAGAUCAGCAACGCUGCGGUGAAUACGUUCCCGGGUCUUGUACACACCGCCCGUCAAGUCAUGAAAGUCGGUAACACCUGAAGCCGG
rnacentral:rRNA from 1 species